UACAGAGGCCUCGAGCGUUAGGCGGAAUCACUGGGCUUAAAGCGUGUGUAGGCGGACUUCUAAGUACCUUGUGAAAUCCCACGGCUCACCCGUGGAACUGCUCGGUAUACUGGUCGUCUUGAGCCUUCUAGGGGCGAGUGGAACAAAUGGUGGAGCGGUGAAAUGCGUAGAUAUCAUUUGGAACGCCAAUGGUGAAAACAACUCGCUGGGGAAGUGCUGACGCUGAGACACGAAAGCCAGGGGAGCGAGCGGG
rnacentral:rRNA from 1 species